rnacentral:rRNA from 1 species
GACGAACGCUGGCGGCGUGCUUAACACAUGCAAGUCGAACGGAAAGGCCCUGCUUGCAGGGUGCUCGAGUGGCGAACGGGUGAGUAACACGUGGGUGAUCUGCCCCUUAUUUUGGGAUAAGCCUGGGAAACUGGGUCUAAUACUGGAUAGGACCAUGCUGUAGGUGGUGUGGUGGAAAGAUUAGUUUCGGUAAGGGAUGAGCUCGCGGCCUAUCAGCUUGUUGGUGGGGUAAUGGCCUACCAAGGCGUCGACGGGUAGCCGGCCUGAGAGGGUGGACGGCCACAUUGGGACUGAGAUACGGCCCAGACUCCUACGGGAGGCAGCAGUGGGGAAUAUUGCACAAUGGGCGCAAGCCUGAUGCAGCGACGCCGCGUGGGGGAUGACGGCCUUCGGGUUGUAAACUCCUUUCAGCCAUGACGAAGCCCUUGUGGUGACGGUAGUGGUAGAAGAAGCACCGGCUAACUACGU